GGCGGUGUGGCUCAGGAGGUAGAGCGGGUUGUCCAAUAACCAAAGGGUUGGCAGUUCAAAUCCCGCUCUGUCU